rnacentral:tRNA from 1 species
ACCUGGCUGGCUCAGUUGGUAGAGCAUGUGACUCUUGAUCUCAGAGUGAUACGUUCAAGCCCUAUGUUGGGCA